CCUCGGAGGCAAAAACAAGGUCAAAUCAUGACGGCAGUGGUCUUCAGAACACAUUGGACAAGAAGAUCCAAUGUGAUGGACCUUGGACCUCCAAUAAGGUGGAGAAGGAUGCGAGGAAUCGCAGAAAGACAAAUUGAGAUUGAGCCCUUGUCUUGUUACCACACCACAUAGUGAUGAACAGUCCAGGCGGAUACCUCUUCCAGGGCUGUGGGUAGGCUGUAUGCCAUGAGGCCCCUAGGUUCAAUCUGCUUUGACAGGAAGACCAAAGGAGAUCUAGGAGGAUAUAACCUUCAGGGCCUCCUUUUCAAGUGUGGCUUCUCACGCCACUGAAGCAGUAUAGAAAUCAAUGACUCUUCCCGAUGCUGGUGAUUACAGUGAACAAGGAGGUGUCGAGGUGCGCACAUGCCUGUGUGGGUGCAGUUGUGCAAAUGUGUGUAUGCGUGCGUGCAUGUAUAUGUGUAUUUGGUUAUAAGAAGGAGGCUGUGUCGUCAGGCCAGCUCAGCCUUGGAUACUCUUAGCUUCACACCUUGGCACAACAAAUCAAUAAUGUAUGCGUGUGCGAUCGUGUUUGGGGGUAUAAUUAAGCAGCCGGACAGCUUCCUCCGUGAGCGAUUUCUGUUGCGUUGUUACACAUUGAGUUAAACAGUGCUUUGGCUGUCUAAUGAAAUUCUCCCAUUCAAUUGACUCCUCAGUCAUGUGACAAGGGUCAGGAGGACUCCAUGGCGGUGCCCUUGGAGUUGGUGAUUGAUUGGCUGUUUAUUAGCUACCACACUCCGAAGGAGGGAUAGAAAACACUUGACUGUGGCCCAGUCAGGUGGACGUGUCCCUGUGUAGAGAAGAGGGCAAGCCUGUUCCCUCUCUCCCACCUCAAAGGUUCCGGGACUUAGCUGUAGAUAAAGGAGCUUUAAUGCAUGUCUAGAAUCUCAAGAAUUACUGGGGAGACCUGGUCAGUUCAGGUUAUUUAAUCUACCUGGAGCGCCUUGUUUCACUUUGCUCUGGUCCAACCGAGCUGUGAUCAAUACCGGUCAGAUGCUAAUGUCAACUUGGUCAAGAAUCCAUCCAGAGAAAAAGAGGCCUGGAGAAUAACAAAGCCAAAACCUGACCGAAAUAAAAUAAAAUCACUAUUUUGUUAGCUUGUCUGCAUUCUCCGCAACCCCCCUGCAGGCCAGACGUUAAACUAGUCAUUUGGAACAUUCAAGAGGAUCUCCUGCUGACCGGUUUAGCACAUCUGACAGUGUCCUGCUGGCGACCAGAAAAGGCAGCCGAUCCAGCGGUGCAUAUAAUCCUCUGGGCUAAAGUUAGAGGUUAAAGCUUCCUCAGGCACUACCAC
rnacentral:lncRNA from 1 species